CUGGCCCUGAAUCAAGGCCAACAGUUUGCUGAAGCUAAUGGUUUCAAGCAGGUGCCUAAAGAAAUGUCUUUCUGUGACCUGUUGGCCAUUUCAGAAAUUUAGAAAUGUAAUGGUCAAUUCAUUAGAAACAUGUGGCU
ensembl:snoRNA